rnacentral:rRNA from 1 species
CCUACGGGAGGCUGCAGUGGGGAAUAUUGGACAAUGGGGGGAACCCUGAUCCAGCCAUGCCGCGUGUGUGAAGAAGGCCCUCGGGUUGUAAAGCACUUUCAGUGAGGAAGAACGCCUGGUGGUUAAUAUCCAUCAGGAAAGACAUCACUCACAGAAGAAGCACCGGCUAACUCCGUGCCAGCAGCCGCGGUAAUACGGAGGGUGCGAGCGUUAAUCGGAAUUACUGGGCGUAAAGCGCGCGUAGGUGGCUUGAUAAGCCGGUUGUGAAAGCCCCGGGCUCAACCUGGGAACGGCAUCCGGAACUGUCAAGCUAGAGUGCAGGAGAGGAAGGUAGAAUUCCCGGUGUAGCGGUGAAAUGCGUAGAGAUCGGGAGGAAUACCAGUGGCGAAGGCGGCCUUCUGGACUGACACUGACACUGAGGUGCGAAAGCGUGGGUAGCAAACAGGAUUAGAUACCCCAGUAGUC